CCUACGGGGAGCAGCAGUCGAGAAUCAUUCACAAUGGGGGAAACCCUGAUGGUGCGACGCCGCGUGGGGGAAUGAAGGUCUUCGGAUUGUAAACCCCUGUCAUGUGGGAGCAAAUUAAAAAGAUAGUACCACAAGAGGAAGAGACGGCUAACUCUGUGCCAGCAGCCGCGGUAAUACAGAGGUCUCAAGCGUUGUUCGGAAUCACUGGGCGUAAGGCGUGCGUAGGCUGUUUCGUAAGUCGUGUGUGAAAGGCGCGGGCUCAACCCGCGGACGGCACAUGAUACUGCGAGACUAGAGUAAUGGAGGGGGAACCGGAAUUCUCGGUGUAGCAGUGAAAUGCGUAGAUAUCGAGAGGAACACUCGUGGCGAAGGCGGGUUCCUGGACAUUAACUGACGCUGAGGCACGAAGGCCAGGGGAGCGAAAGGGAUUAGAUACCCGUGUAGUC
rnacentral:rRNA from 1 species